GCCCGGCCGCUCCUGGGGCGCUCGCCCAUGGCUGACAGGAGCCUGAUCGAGGGCGCCGAGCCCCUGCCGCGCCGGGAGGAGGCUCCCGAGUGGGGCUACGAGGAAGGAGUGGAGUGGGGGCUGAUUUUCCCCGAUGCUAACGGGGAGUACCAGUCGCCCAUUAACUUGAACUCAAGAGAAGCCAAAUAUGACCCCUCGCUCCUGGAAGUGCGUUUGUCACCGAACUACGUGGUGUGUCGCGACUGUGAAGUGAUCAACGACGGGCAUUCGAUUCAGAUUGCCCUGAAGUCAAAAUCAGUGUUAAUAGGGGGGCCAUUACCUCGGGGACACGAGUUUGAACUACACGAUGUUCGAUUUCACUGGGGGAGAGAAAACCAGCGUGGUUCUGAACACACAGUUAAUUUUAAGGCCUUUCCCAUGGAGCUUCAUCUAAUGCACUGGAACUCCACGCUGUACAGCAGCAUUGAUGAGGCAGUAGGGAAGAAGCACGGCAUAGCUAUUAUUGCUUUGUUUGUGCAGAUAGGAAAAGAGCAUGUGGGCCUAAAGGCUGUAACUGAAAUUCUUCAGGACAUCCAGUACAAGGGAAAGUCCAAAACAAUACCCUGUUUUAAUCCCAACUCUUUAUUGCCAGAUCCUCUUCUGCGUGACUACUGGGUGUAUGAGGGCUCUCUAACCAUUCCACCCUGCAGUGAAGGUGUCACCUGGAUAUUAUUUCGCUAUCCUUUGACUGUGUCCCAAGUGCAGAUAGAGGAAUUUCGAAGACUGAGGACUCAUGUAAAAGGUGCUGAACUUUUAGAGGGCUCUGAUGGCAUCCUAGGAGAUAACUUCAGACCAACUCAGCCACUUAGUGAUAGAGUCAUCAGGGCUGCAUUUCAGUAGCAGAGGAGGAAGAACAAUGACGAAUCUUCAGUCAGUGGAACAGCUUUACCUGUGAAUGAGCAAGAAUUCUGAUUUCAAACCGAAUGCCUUCGUCCGUUUAUACACCAGGGUGUUUACACAUGAUUCCAUGCAUGGAGCAGAGAGGGGGAAGACAAUGCUCCCACAGUGCCCGCAGAUGAGAAAUGGAAACUUUUGAGACUGCUGCUCCAGUUGAACCACAAAGCCUGUAUUGUUUGUUUUCAUCUAAUUCAGCCUUGAUAGACAGCUGUGACAGUUGGUCUGUCCACAUGGUCCAGUGAAAUUCUGGGAAUGGGCUGUACAUUAAAAGAAGAAAACAUAUUAAAUCUUCCAGUUCACACUGUUAACUAUUUUUAAAUUGUUGAUGUCAUUGCUUUUGUAGCUACUUCCCUGUAGCAUUCAUCUGUGAUCCAAAUAGUACUGAUUUUAAGCUUGGUAUGAAUGCUAAUAUGUAGAAAUACUUACUAUUGUUUUGAAUGUUAGAUUUACUUUUAUUCCGUAUCAUCGCUUGUGCUGUCAGUAAUCAUAUUUUCUGUAGAAGGGAAAUGGAUUCUACAAAGGUAGUAAAAACAUUGUUUGUUCACAAA